CGUGCAGAAUUCUAUACUCUUACAACUGCAACUUAACUCUACAUGUCGUUGACCAUAUGUUCUUAUCUCUUAACGCCAACCACAGGCACUCAAUUAUAGGCUCAUAUCUAAGAGUAACUUGGACCAUUAGCAAGAUUGUCACAUAGUAAUUCGAUAUGACUAUCUGCCCUGGGAGCUUUGUAGCUGGAGAAGAUCAGCAGGAAGACUUUGUUAAACAUGUUGAAUGCUUUGCACUUGUUUUCACAUAGGGGUUUUGAUUGUGGGGUGAUGUUGUGAAAUGGUUUUGGGGAAGAUUUGAAGUGGGUGGCAGAGGGAAAGUCAAAUCAGUCCUGAAAGCUUUUUAUGGGGAGUGUGUAAUGUCUCUAAAAGCUGAUGUAUAGCAAAGGAACAACAUUUGAAAAAGCAAAGCUUAAAGAUAUAUCUAACCUA